rnacentral:rRNA from 1 species
ACUGAAUAGAUACCCUGGUAGUCCACGCUGUAAACGAUGAAGACUAGAUGUUGUUCAGCAUGACUGAUUAGUAUCGAAGCUAACGCGAUAAGUCUUCCGCCUGGGGAGUACGGCCGCAAGGUUAAAACUCAAAGGAAUUGACGGGGGCCCGCACAAGCGGUGGAGCAUGUGGUUUAAUUCGAUGCAACGCGAAGAACCUUACCUACCCUUGACAUCCUGGGAAGGCUGCAGAGAUGCGGCUGUGCCGAAAGGAACCCAGAGACAGGUGCUGCAUGGCUGUCGUCAGCUCGUGUUGUGAGAUGUUGGGUUAAGUCCCGUAACGAGCGCAACCCUUAUCCUUAGUUACCAGCACGUGAUGGUGGGGACUCUAAGGAGACUGCUGGUGAAGAACCCGGAGGAAGGCGGGGUACGACGUCAAGUCAUCAUGGCCUUUAUGGGUUAGGGCUACACACGUGCUACAAUGGGGCGUACAGAGGG